rnacentral:misc_RNA from 1 species
UUAAGUUCAGCGGGUGGUCCUACCUGAUUUGAGGUCAAGUUUAUCAAAUCCAACUCUUAUAUAGCAGCAGAACCCUCGACCAGAUGCAGAUAUGUAUCACAUCUUAAUGGAGAGGUCGUUACCACUCAUGUAUUUCAGGGGAGCAGACUAGGCCUGUAACCCCCAAAUCCAAGCCACACCUCACGGUGUGGUUGAGACAU